AUUAGCUCAGUUGGUAGAGCAACUGACUCUUAAUCAGUGGGUCCCGGGUUCGAAUCCCUGAU
rnacentral:tRNA from 2 species